rnacentral:rRNA from 1 species
AUAUUUUUUUUAUAGUACCUUUUGUAUCAGGGUUUAUUAAGUUUUUACUAAUUAUUAUUAUUAAUCCCGAAAUUAAAAGAUAUACAGUUUUAUGAAAGUUUAUGUUUUAUAAUGAUUUUGAAUUUAACUGUAGAGGUUAUAUGCUAUUCAUUUUUAAAUAUCUGGUUAUCUAAUAAAUUAAUUUAAUUAA